rnacentral:rRNA from 1 species
ACGCUGGUGGCAGGCCUAACACAUGCAAGUCGAGCGGUAGAGAGAAGCUUGCUUCUCUUGAGAGCGGCGGACGGGUGAGUAAUGCCUAGGGAUCUGCCUGGUAGUGGGGGAUAACGUUCGGAAACGGACGCUAAUACCGCAUACGUCCUACGGGAGAAAGCAGGGGACCUUCGGGCCUUGCGCUAUCAGAUGAGCCUAGGUCGGAUUAGCUAGUUGGUGGGGUAAUGGCUCACCAAGGCGACGAUCCGUAACUGGUCUGAGAGGAUGAUCAGUCACACUGGAACUGAGACACGGUCCAGACUCCUACGGGAGGCAGCAGUGGGGAAUAUUGGACAAUGGGCGAAAGCCUGAUCCAGCCAUGCCGCGUGUGUGAAGAAGGUCUUCGGAUUGUAAAGCACUUUAAGUUGGGAGGAAGGGUUGUAGAUUAAUACUCUGCAAUUUUGACGUUACCGACAGAAUAAGCACCGGCUAACUCUGUGCCAGCAGCCGCGGUAAUACAGAGGGUGCAAGCGUUAAUCGGAAUUACUGGGCGUAAAGCGCGCGUAGGUGGUUUGUUAAGUUGGAUGUGAAAUCCCCGGGCUCAACCUGGGAACUGCAUUCAAAACUGACUGACUAGAGUAUGGUAGAGGGUGGUGGAAUUUCCUGUGUAGCGGUG